ACAAGUACCGUGAGGGAAAGUUGCAAAGCACUUUGAAGAGAGAGUUAAAGAGGACGUGAAACCGGUAGGAUGGAAACGGAUAGAGCUAGCGAAGCUGCUUGUAUUCAGCUGGUUGGCACUGGUCUUGGGCUGUCCGGUUGCUAAUCACACUGGGCGGUUCAUCUGUGCUGGUGUCACCGGUGCAUUUGCAGGCAAUUGCGCUGAGACUUGUGGGGCAGUGGUUGGACGCUUGUCUAGAGGCUUCCCUUGUGGUUGAACCUUGACGAUGCUGACAGCCAUUUGCUCUGCUCGUAAACUGGGACUGGCCUACGGGCACACGUGCUGUUUGUUGCGCUUUAGUGGUGGGAUUGCAUGCAAUCUCUAGCUGGAGUGUACCAUCUGUGCUUGUCGCUCACUUGUCCCACUCUUGGUGUAGAAGCUGGUCAUCUAUCCGACCCGUCUUGAAACACGGACCAAGGAGUUUAGCGUAUACGCGAGCCAUUGGGUGUUGAAAACUCAUAGGCGCAAUGAAAGUAAAGGCCAUGUUGAUUGGCUUACAUGCGAAUGGGUUGGCUUCGGCCUUCCUAUGCAGCAUGGUCCCCUUGUGAUUGCUUGCAAUGCAGGGGAGACAGAGCGUAUGCGCUGAGACCCGAAAGAUGGUGAACUAUUCCUGAGCAGGACGAAGCCAGAGGAAACUCUGGUGGAAGUCCGAAGCGAUUCUGACGUGCAAAUCGAUCGUCUGACUUGGGUAUAGGGGCGAAAGACUAAUCGAACCAUCUAGUAGCUGGUUCCUUCCGA
rnacentral:rRNA from 1 species